ACGCUCGACACCUACGGAGGCAGCAGUGAGGAAUAUUGGUCAAUGGACGCAAGUCUGAACCAGCCAUGCCGCGUGCAGGAUGACGGCUCUAUGAGUUGUAAACUGCUUUUGUACGAGGGUAAACGCAGAUACGUGUAUCUGUCUGAAAGUAUCGUACGAAUAAGGAUCGGCUAACUCCGUGCCAGCAGCCGACGGUAAUCUGAGCGGGCUGGCAAGGC
rnacentral:rRNA from 1 species